UACGUAGGGUGCAAGCGUUGUCCGGAAUUAUUGGGCGUAAAGAGCUCGUAGGUGGUUUUGUCGCGUUGUUCGUGAAAACUCACAGCUCAACUGUGGGCGUGCGGGCGAUACGGGCAGACUUGAGUACUGCAGGGGAGACUGGAAUUCCUGGUGUAGCGGUGGAAUGCGCAGAUAUCAGGAGGAACACCGGUGGCGAAGGCGGGUCUCUGGGCAGUAACUGACGCUGAGGAGCGAAAGCGUGGGGAGCGAACAGG
rnacentral:rRNA from 1 species